GGGGGUGCGUAACACUGCCGAUGCCGGUCCCAAGCCCGGAUAAAAGUGGAGGGCGCACUACUUAAUCAAAUUUGGUGAAUAGGUUUUUUUUGCUAAGUUGCUUCAGUUCUUGCUUUAGUAGAACAGAAGAGGAGGCCCGACUUGAAGAUGAUCCUCCACAUGGAAGUUCGCUUACUGCCUGCAGCACAGCAGCUGGUUGUUUAUUAAUUACGGAGUAUUAAAGUUGUAGGGAUUUUACUGGUUUUUCUUUUCAAUUUGUACACAGUACUGCAAAUGUUGCAGCUCACUCAUGUGCAAAGCAUGCUUCAGAUGCUAGGCAGGGGAACUUUGUGGUCCUGACUGGGCUCUCCUAUUCAGACUUCUGCCUGUAUGUUGAUUGCAACCCUACUGAUAUGGAAUGGAAUAAAAACAAAUAAGAAGCCGAGGCCCAACAGAAAAACUUGCGCUGCUCAGGGUAAUAUAAUAAGGGGCUCAUUUGUCAAUAUACAGGACGGACACAGAAUAUGAAAGCUGCAGAGGGAUGCCAGAAUUUGGCACUGCAUGCAUUUGUAAAUGGCUUCAAAACGUUGGAGGAUUGGGAGUGUUCGUUGCUGGCGAAUGAGCUGUUUCACGCACCUUUCUGAGAGAAGCAGAUGUAUUAUAUUCUGACGGAGCCUCGCUGUAUCAACCAAGGCACAAGGCAAGGCAGCUGCAACUGAUCGAUCUGGUCUUGGACGGCACUAGAACCCAAGAAAUGAAAUGGACCAACUCGUGGGAUUAUUCAAACGACAAAGCACAGCACCAGAAACCAACGCCAAUUGGCGGUCGGAACGACGCUCCUGGCCUCCAAGAAGCAGUCAAAUCACCUGAAACUUAGCCGCUCCUUGCCCCUAUAUAAACCGCUCUCUCGGCCCCAAGAAGCCGGCAUCAGCGAGCAAUUUCAGAAGCAGAGAACACGAUGGACUACCGUGCUCUCCUCGUGCUGCUUAUCGUCUUCCUGGCCGUCCACCUCGAGGGCACCACCGCCCAGUAUGGCAGCAGCGAUGGUGCGCCUGGCGCCGCCGGGGCAGGGUACUCGCUGGGCGUCGCCGCAGCUCUGCUUGCCGUCGCGGCGUUCGUCUGGAACUGAAGCCGGGCUGAGCUGCUGAAGUGAAAGAGGUUGCUUUGCUCGCCAGAGUACAGAUUAUGUCAAAGUUGUGAUGUACUCCGUACUUGAAUAAUGUUUCUGCCAGUCGGUGUGGUUACCUUGUGUUUGGGCAUACUGAGAGUCAAAUAUGAAAUCAGAUGCCUUGGAAAAA